AACGAACGCUGGCGGCAUGCCUAACACAUGCAAGUCGAACGAGGUUUCCACUUCGGUGGUUUCCUAGUGGCGCACGGGUGAGUAACGCGUGGGAACCUGCCUUGUGGUACGGAAUAACUCCGGGAAACUGGAGCUAAUACCGUAUGUGUCCUGUGGGACAAAGAUUGCAUCGCCAUGGGAGGGGCCCGCGUACGGAUUAGCUGGUUGGUGGGGUAACGGCCUACCAAGGCAACGAUCCUUAGCUGGUCNGAGGAGGAUGAUCAGCCACACUGGGACUGAGACAC
rnacentral:rRNA from 1 species